AGGGGAGUAGCUCAAUUGGUAGAGUAGCGGUCUCCAAAACCGUUGGUUGCGGGUUCGAGUCCUGUCUCCCCUGCCA
rnacentral:tRNA from 13 species